UCCCUAUAGGCACUCAAAGCAGCCUCACUGCUGGGAGUCCUUCCAUACUAUACCAUACUCUGAUGUCUUCCACUACACCUAGGCUCCUAGUUGCUCCUCUUCUGUACCUCUGCCAGGACAGACACUCCAGCUGCUUCAGCCAGAAAGGAACUCCAGUCUUCUCAGCAGAAACCCCCACAGCCUCUCUUCUGGAAGAUCUGGGGGAGCAUCCCUCUGUUCCCCUGGCCUUCUCCCUGUUCCCCUCAGUCCAGCUCAUGGUUAAUGACUCCCACCAUUCAAGACCCAGAUCACAGUGAACUUCCUUCCAGCAGAGGCGGGAAAAGUGUGACUUCCUUUAGAGCUAAUCAGGGCCUCGUUGCUUUGCCUGAGAACAGAAUGGAUUACCUUGGGCUACUACAGCUACAAGUACAUUUAACUACCAUCUGUAUAAUUAUUAUGACUCACAUAGUGGCCCUGCUUUGGUGGCAUUCUAGAAUCGCUGAGCCUUGACCCUUGGUUAAACGGUCUAUCCUUUUUCAGAUAAGAUUUGUCAAAAAGGAUUUGAUUGCACUGCAUGAACUCUGUUGGCCAGAUUGUGAUCUCAUUUCCACUGGUGUGACUCCAGAAGAACUUCUCAAUGCUCAUAAUACCAUUACCACCUCCUCCUCCCCAUCCACGUUUGUUUCAUCCAUCUGUUGUGUCUUGUCAUUUACCAAGAUUGUCAGCUCUUUGGGACAGUGACUGUCUUUUUACUAGAUUUGUACAAUGUCUAGCACAAUGAGGCCCCAAUUCCUGAUUGAGGGCUCUAGGCACUACUGCAAUACAAAUAGAUAAUUAAUAAUUUGUAUAAUGGAAUUACUCUAGAUUUGCUUAUGGUCAAUGAGAUCUGAUCCUAUCACUAAUUGUUCUAUUCAGCUUCAGUUGUUUCUUUGGUACCUUGCACACACAGUGACAUAACAGAUAAUACAUUUAUUUCUUAGAUUGAUGUAGAUUUGCUAGGGGAACACAUAGACCAGUAGUAAUUAAACUUGCAAAUUUUUGGUGUUUUGUGUUUGAUUUAAAUUGGUUGAUGCCACUCUAAAUAUUAUGAAACAUUAGUAUAUUCAUUUGUUCAAUAGAUCAGAGUUGAAUAUUUUCAUUUCUUUAAGCAAUAAAAUUGCGCAGUAGAAAACUAAUUUGAUACAAUUUCCAGAUGAACUGAAAAAUAAUGUCUCAAUAAUCCACGCAUUUCAGCCUGUGAAAAAUAUCUUGCACUAAGAACAGCAUGUUCUGGUCCUUGCUGUGCCUCAUCCAGUCUGGACAAAGGUCUAAAUGAGUUUGUGAGUAGUGUGAAAAAAAAUCACCGAUUGUCUGACUAGCUGUCUGGAGGGCAGAAAAAAAUCUUACUUGUCUAGGUUUGAUUGAAACCUGAGUUAACUGCCAAUGCUCACACAAACCGGAAAAACAGGAUUAAAGGCCAAGGAGAUAUUAACAGUAGACAUCUUGUACCUCUGCUUUGACAGAUGAUUUUCACAGUUCUCCGAUUUAGCAGCAGUUCUGACAAAGGCAAAUGAAAUAAUUAAUAACAACUCAGGAUUAAAGAAUCAAAGUCUAAACUCCCAUAAAACUAUCUGAAAGAUUUAUAAUAAUGAUGCAUAGAGAUACAGCAGUUCACUUAGCUAUGAAAUUUUAAGUUGAGUAGAUGUCGGUACAUUAAAAUCCAAUUAAUUUCAUCUCUUUGUACAAUGCUAAGAUCCUUAGUCAUCUAUUUAUUUCACUAACACUGGAGCGUUUUAAAUGUGACCCAGUCCCAUUGUUAUCUGGGAUUAUGGAGCUACCAUAGUGAUUCUAUAGUUAAAGUUGUAAGGAGGGGGACUGAAUCAUUUAAUUAAUGUAGCCUCUUCCUACUUGCAAGCAGAUCAUGACUUCCUCCAAUUUAUUUAUUACUUGAAUUUACUCAAGGAACAUGUGUAUGUAUGUGUGGGGUGGUGGGGGAGGGUUCAUUUCCUUACUGUAUGGACUGAUCACAAACAAUUCAGUAGGACUGUUGACUACUCCAAAUGAGCUAUGUUGGUUAGUUGUGAUUGGUCACAUAAGUCACAUGGUAUUGGGUUUGUGCCCUGACUGGAUAAGGAGUGCAUCUUUUUAGAAUCGGAAUGAGGGCUUGGAUUCUUUCAGAAAGAGGGAGUAAAUAGUUAUUUUAUUUUAAUUUUUUCACCAAUGAUAUUAAAACAUUUUCCUUUGUGGGACACGCAGGCAUUGCUCAAGAUCAAUUAGUCCCAGAAAAAUUAGGUUGUUGUAAGAUUUAUUAACUUGGGAGCAGAGUUUAAAUGUUAUGUUCCUUUGUCACAGUUACACAAAAGCAAUUAUGUGUGGGUAAGAAGUCCUAGUUAUGUAGGGUAUGGUCUCAAAAUCUUGUCUAUCUUAUAUAAUUGCCAUUAUGCAAGAACUUUGUAUAGUGCUCUACAAUGCAUUACAAGGGGUUUAAUUGCCAAACCUGCUCUUUCACUUUCCAGGUUGGAAGGCACAGAGUGAUUCAGAGAUAUCAUACUUAACAGCUGGAAAAGGCUCAACAGUCACCCCUCCUGCUGAUUUUAAAAAAAAGAUGGUAGCAAUAGCACAGAGAUUUAAGAGUGAGGCAGUUCAAGGGAGGAAAAGGCUAUUUAGCUCUUGGCACUGUCAUUUUUUGCUUGUGCAUAGAGUUUAAUCAGAUAUUAACUCUUGGUAAAGAUACCUUAUAUGAUAAAUACAAUGCUCAGGAUUAAAGACAGCGAAAGCAAGAAAGAAUGAGAACAAGGCCAAGUGCCCCUACAGCGUGGGGCACAAAUAUUAGGAACUCCUAAACUUCAGCUGCUGUUAAUGAGGCUCACGACACAUUCAGAUCUCUUCCACAGCUUCCAUCUGAUUUCUGUCAUUAAAAGGCAGGAUCCAUAUGGACUCAUCAGUACUGACUGCAGUGCUGAGCCUUUAGAAAAGAAGGAAAAGAAAAGGUUUGAUCCUUGUAGUCAUUGUAAAUGAAAGGUAAUUUAAUGCAAUCAGGAAAUGCUGAAGGAAGCAGCAAGAAGUCCUCAAACUACAAUGAGCGGGCUAAUAAGAGUCAGUUGAAAGGCCAUUUUAGCCCCUAAGGAUUCUUCUGAGGACAUCAUGCUGGUACUUUGUCUUCUUUAGGGCACAACUGGUUGUGUCUGCUGAGGAAAGUGGCCACAGUUGUAUGGCUGUCU